rnacentral:rRNA from 1 species
GGAUUAGGCAUGCAAGUCGAACGUGAAAGGCCUUCGGGCUGAGUAAAGUGGCGCAAGGGUGAGUAACACGUAAUUAACCUACCCCCGAGACGGGAAUAACCGCUGGAAACGGUGGCUAAUACCCGAUCUCAACUUCUUGUCGCAUGGCAGGAAGUGCAAACGGCGGGGAUCCUACGGGACCCGCUGCUCGGGGAGGGGAUUGCGGCCUAUCAGCUUGUUGGUGAGGUAACGGCUUACCAAGGCAACGACGGGUAGCCGGUCUGAGAGGAUGGUCGGUCACACUGGGACUGAGACACUGCCCAGACUCCUACGGGAGGCUGCAGUCGAGAAUCUUCCGCAAUGGACGAAAGUCUGACGGAGCGACGCCGCGUGAAGGAUGAAUGCCCUUGGGUUGUAAACUUCUGUCAGGGUUCAAAGAAAGGGUGAUAGUUAAUGGCUGUCAUCUUGACAUUAGGCCCAAAGGAAGCACCGGCUAACUCUGUGCCAGCAGCCGCGGUAAGACAGAGGGUGCAAACGUUGCUCGGAAUUACUGGGCAUAAAGCGCACGUAGGCGGCCUAGCAAGUGCGGUGUGAAAGCCCCCGGCCUAACCGGGGAACUGCAUCGCAUACUGCUUGGCUAGAGCUUGAGAGGGGAGAGUGGAACUCCUGGUGGAGCGGUGGAAUGCGUAGAUAUCAGGAGGAACGCCAGAGGUGAAGACGACUCUCUGGCUCAAUGCUGACGCUGAGGUGCGAAAGCUAGGGGAGCGAACGGGAUUAGAUACCCCGGUAGUCCUAGCCCUAAACGAUGGGCACUAGCUAGAGGGGAUUCCUAUGUCUUCUCUGGCGAAGCAAAUGUAUUAAGUGCCCCGCCUGGGGAGUACGGUCGCAAGACUAAAACUCAAAGGAAUUGAUGGGGGCUCACACAAGCGGUGGAGCAUGUUGUUUAAUUCGAUGCAACGCGAAGAACCUUACCCAGGCCUGAAUGCAGGGAUUAAGCUGUGAAAGCAGUGGAUUGCCUUCGGGUGUAACCUGCACCGGUGUUGCAUGGCUGUCGUCAGCUCGUGUCGUGAGAUGUUGGGUUAAGUCCCGUAACGAGCGAAACCCCUAUUGUUAGUUGCCAGCGGGUAAUGCCGGGGACUCUAGCGAGACUGCCGUUGUCAAGACGGAGGAAGGUGGGGACGACGUCAAGUCAUCAUGGCCCGUAUUCCUGGGGCUACAAACGUGCUACAAUGGCCGGGACAGAGGGAUGCGAAACCGCGAGGUCAAGCAAACCCCAAAAACCCGGUCUCAGUUCGGAUUGCAGGCUGCAAUUCGCCUGCAUGAAGUUGGAAUCGCUAGUAAUCGCGGAUCAGCUAUGCCGCGGUGAAUAUGUUCCUGAGCCUUGUACACUCCUCCCGUCAAGCCACGAAAGCCGGGAGCGCCCGAAGUCGCUAGCCCAACCCCCAAGGGGGGGCAGCGCCGAAGGCGAGUUCGGUAAUCGGGACUAAGUCGUAACAAGGUAGCCGUAGGGGAACCUGCGGCUGGAUCACCUCCUCUCUAAGGAAAACUUAGACAUCGCUGUCUGGACCUAACCGUCCGGGUGGUGGGUGAAUGAAUAGGCGCACUCGGGGCGCGUGUUGGGCCAUCCACUUUUUUCUUCUUCCGGGAAGCGCUCGUCUGGGCCUAUAGCUCAGUUGGUUAGAGCGUCCGCCUGAUAAGCGGGAGGUCUGUGGUUCAAAUCCACAUAGGCCCACCAGUUUUGCUUUGAACCGUCCUCAGGCGGAGAUAGGUAGGGGCACGCGAAGCCGGACGGUUCGGGGGUUUGCUUUGAAGCACCGGCAGCGGGGACUGAGGUGGGGAUGCCGUAUGUCGGCAACUCGAGGCAGCAAUCGGCAAACGCUCGCGGUACGAGCGGCGCUAGGGGGCGUAGCUCAAUUGGGAGAGCGUCUGCUUUGCACGCAGAAGGUGUCGGUUCGAUUCCGGUCGCCUCCACCAACGCGAGGCCGCCGGACCUGGCUGAGCCAUCCGAAGAAGAAGAAAGGCGAAACACACCGCCACGGAGUCGCAAACAGCGGCGCCACGUGCAGUUCUUUGGAAAUUGGAUGUAAGUCGCGGCCGAGAGUAGAGGUUGCGUGUAUCGGGCGAGAGCUCGAGAACGUUGCUCUGCUGCUCGGCAAUCAAAGGUAAUAGAAGAUAUAAUUGGUCAAGCUACAAAGGGUGCAUGGUGGAUACCUAGGUACCGAGAGCCGAUGAAGGACGUGGCAAAGCUGCGAAAAGCUUCGGGGAGCCGCUAGCAGGCAUUGAUCCGGAGGUGUCCCAAUCAGGAAACUGGACAGGGUUUAUCCCCUGUCAUGGCCGAGCGAAUACAUAGUUCGGUCAGGGGAAGCGGGGCGAACUGAAACAUCUGGAGUAAC